GACGUAGGGGGCCAGCGUUGUUCGGAAUUACUGGGUGUAAAGGGUUCGUAGGCGGUGUGGCAAGUCGGGAGUGAAAUCUCUGGGCUCAACCCAGAGUCUGCUUCCGAAACUGCUGUGCUUGAGUGUGGGAGAGGCGCGUGGAAUUGCAGGUGUAGCGGUGAAAUGCGUAGAUAUCGUAAGGAAGACCAGUGGCGAAGGCGGGUCUCUGGACAGUUCCUGACGCUGAGGCACGAAGGUCAGGGGAGCAAACGGG
rnacentral:rRNA from 1 species